GUGCUCGCUUCGGCAGCACAUACACUAAAAUUGGAAUGGUUCGGAGAAGAUUAGCGUGGCACCUGUUCAGGGACGACAUGCAAAUUCAUGAAGCAUUGCAUGUUAAA
rnacentral:snRNA from 1 species